GUAUGUUAGCUGUGUACAUCUCAUUGUCUGAGGAUGGCAAAAAGUGAUUUAAGGUUGUUUAUAGUGUUUCAUAUUAUCCUUGCUUGAAAAGUCCUAUACGAGUGCUAUGAAGAUGUUGCAAGUGGAAGCGAGAUUUGCAGUGUUGUUUUGGUUGGGCGUCAAUUUCAUCUCGAAGAGGAUUUACAGAUAGUCGGAUGUAUUAUAACCGAUGCGAAUGCCACUGCUUUUCUUCAUGCCAAAGCCUAUGGCUCAACUCCUUGAGGUAUAUCAGAGAGAGAGGCCAAAAAUUGGCGAAUGCUUAAAGAACGAGCAGGUUUGAAGCUUAAUGAUCUCAUCUUGUUCCUGGAGAAAAUGUCAGAU